AUGAUUUGAUGCACAGCAACUCUUGACCCAUUUUCUUCGUUUAUUUUCCUGUUACAAGAAAAUAUCGAAGUUAGAGAUGCACCAGUUGCUGAUUGUCAUGAUCGUAUUCCAAUACGUGAACUCCGCGACUGUUCGCCAGGAUCCCCGAAUUGUCUCCAAACUUGGAGGGCAAGUCGUAAUGAAAUGCACGGUGGAGGGGCAGAGUACAGGUACCAUGCUCUGGUACAGACAAAACCAGGGGAAGGAGCUGCAACUGAUGUUUUAUUCAGCAGCUGCGGAAAACGAGUCUCCAGUGGAAAAGACAGACGGUUUCACCGCCAAGAGAGCGACUGGCUCUGAUGUCAACCUGAAGACUCCCAGCCUCCGGGCUGAUCACUCCGCCGUGUAUUACUGUGCGUGGAGUUUCACAGUGACUCGGAGAGAGGGAGCAGUUCAACAAAAACCCCAGAGGCUGCAAGAAGCAGAUAUAAACUGCAAAGCCAGGCGAUGCUGCAGUAUUUUUCGUCGAAUACCUGCUUAUAAGAUUAGGUUAGCGCUGCACGUUAGUACGACAGUGAGAGAUCGGACAAUGAAGGAACCUACAUAG